rnacentral:snoRNA from 1 species
AAUCCAUGGUGAGGGCAAUCACGUUCAUACUCCUUAAAACGUUCCCAAGCUUCAUAGAAAGAUUCACUUGGCCCUCGUUGAAAUUUUGAGAUCUUUGUUCUCAACU